UACGUAGGGUGCAAGCGUUGUCCGGAUUUAUUGGGCGUAAAGAGCUCGUAGGCGGUUUGCCGCGUCUGCUGUGAAAACUCGGGGCUUAACCCCGGCCAGCAGUGGGUACGGGCAGACUAGAGUGCGGUAGGGAGACUGGAAUUCAUGGUGUAGCAGUGAAAUGCGUAGAGAUCAUGAGGAAGACCAGUGGCGAAGGCGGGUCUCUGGACAGUUCCUGACACUGAGACACGAAGGCCAGGGAGCAAACGGG
rnacentral:rRNA from 1 species